AGGACGACGCUGGCGGCGUGCUUAACACAUGCAAGUCGAACGGAAAGGCCCCCACCUUGGUGGGGGUGCUCGAGUGGCGAACGGGUGAGUAACACGUGGGUGAUCUGCCCUGUACUUCGGGAUAAGCUUGGGAAACUGGGUCUAAUACCGGAUAGGACCAUGGUUUAGUGUCUCAUGGUGGAAAGAUUAUUGUUUUGGUGCAGGAUGAGCUCGCGGCCUAUCAGCUUGUUGGUGGGGUAAUGGCCUACCAAGGCGUCGACGGGUAGCCGGCCUGAGAGGGUGGACGGCCACAUUGGGACUGAGAUACGGCCCAGACUCCUACGGGAGGCAGCAGUGGGGAAUAUUGCACAAUGGGCGCAAGCCUGAUGCAGCGACGCCGCGUGGGGGAUGACGGCCUUCGGGUUGUAAACUCCUUUCGUUAGGGACGAAGCCGCACCUGUUUUGGGUGUGGUGACGGUACCUUUGUUAAGAAGCACCGGCUAACUAC
rnacentral:rRNA from 1 species